rnacentral:rRNA from 1 species
GAUGAACGCUGGCGGCGUGCCUAAUACAUGCAAGUCGAGCGAACAGAUAAGGAGCUUGCUCCUUUGACGUUAGCGGCGGACGGGUGAGUAACACGUGGGUAACCUACCUAUAAGACUGGGAUAACUUAGGGAAACUGGAGCUAAUACCGGAUAACAUUUGGAACCGCAUGGUUCUAAAGUGAAAGAUGGUUUUGCUAUCACUUAUAGAUGGAGCCGCGCCGUAUUAGCUAGUUGGUAAGGUAAAGGCUUACCAAGGCAACGAUACGUAGCCGACCUGAGAGGAUGAUCGGCCACACUGGAACUGAGACACGGUCCAGACUCCUACGGGAGGCAGCAGUAGGGAAUCUUCCGCAAUGGGCGAAAGCCUGACGGAGCAACGCCGCGUGAGUGAUGAAGGGUUUCGGCUCGUAAAACUCUGUUAUUAGGGAGGAACAAAAGUGUGAGAAACUGUUCACGUCUUGACGGUACCUAAUCAGAAAGCCACGGCUAACUACGUG